CUAAUUUUGAAUCUGAGACUCACCUAAGACUUGGAUCUCGAGCGCGCUCUCUCUCUCUCUAAAUCUCAGAGCGAUUUCGAAGCUCCACCGCUUAUUCAUUCUCAGAGCGAGGUAGCAAGCACCAACGAAGAGCGUCAGAGAUUCAGAUCGGUCUCCACCAUCUGCACCAUCGUCUGCACCAUUAUCUGCACCAUCGUCUACUAAGGUGAGCUCCACCCUCUCUCUCUCUCUGAAGCUCUUCCUUCCCGUCGACUCGGUGGAAACUUCUUCAAGCCACGCAUUCCAAUCCGAGUUCAAGGUCGAAGAUGAUGACACCAAUUCGAUGCCCUCUAACAUUGGCUUGAUUCAACAUGCUGCGUGGAUUGGUUUGGCUACCAUCACAAGCAA